ACGGCCAUACCACGUUGAUAUAAGGAAAACACUGGUUCUCGUCCGAUCACCGAAGUCAAGCAAUGUUGGACCCGGUCAAUAGUUGAGGGUGACCAUUUGGGAACACCGGGUGCUGUAGGCU